UCAGCUUUCGAUGGUAGUGUAUUGGACUACCAUGGCUUUCACGGGUAACGGAGGAUUAGGGUUCGAUUCCGGAGAGGGAGCCUGAGAAACGGCUACCACAUCUAAGGAAGGCAGCAGGCGCGUAAAUUACCCAAUCCUGACUCAGGGAGGUAGUGACAAGAAAUAACGGACCGAAGCAUUUGUUUCGGGAUUGCAAUGAGUAGAAUUUAAACCCCUUUACGAGGAUCAAUUGGAGGGCAAGUCUGGUGCCAGCAGCCGCGGUAAUUCCAGCUCCAAUAGCGUAUAUUAAAGUUGUUGCAGUUAAAAAGCUCGUAGUUGGAUUUCUGGAGGGGCGCCAAUGUCCGAUGUUUCGUGUGCAGCGGUGCCUCUCCAUCCUUCAGUUAACGUUUCUGAUAUUCAUUUAUUGGUCUCGGGCUCUGAUAUUUUACCUUGAGAAAAUUAGAGUGUUCCAGGCAGGCUUGCGCCGGAAUACAUUAGCAUGGAAUAAUAGAAUAGGACUUUAGUCUCCUUUGUUGGUUUGAGGGACUGAAGUAAUGAUUAAUAGGGAUAGUUGGGGGCAUUAGUAUUUAAUUGUCAGAGGUGAAAUUCUCGGAUUUGUUAAAGACUAACUUAUGCGAAAGCAUUUGCCAAGGAUGUUUUCAUUAAUCAAGAACGAAAGUUAGGGGAUCAAAGACGAUCAGAUACCGUCCUAGUCUUAACCAUAAACUAUGCCGACUAGGGAUCGGAGGCGCGCCUUAUCCGCCUUCGGCACCUUAUGAGAAAUCAAAGUCUUUGGGUUCUGGGGGGAGUAUGGUCGCAAGGCUGAAACUUAAAGGAAUUGACGGAAGGGCACCACCAGGAGUGGAGCUUGCGGCUCAAUUUGACUCAACACGGGAAAACUUACCAGGUCCAGACAUAGUGAGGAU
rnacentral:rRNA from 1 species